GGGCGGGUGAAGGCAGUGUAAGGAACAGGCUGGUGCUUCCCUGCCAACCCCCUCCAUACCAACCACUGAUCCUCACCAGGAUGGACAGCAAUGCUCGUUUUUUACUUAGAUCUUCAGAGCUCCUGACAAUCUCAUGGACAGAGGAGCCUGGUGGACUGCAGUCCACGGGGUCCCAAAGAGUUGGGCAUGACUGAGUGACUCAGAGUUCCUCUCUCUUUUUUUUGUCUCCCCAGGAAAAGACCUGGCUGCUGUCACGAUGCUGGUGAGGAAGAGCAUGUGCUGGACGUGUCAUCAAGGUGUAUGCCACCAUUGGAUAUAAAUGGGGCUGCAAGGCCCUCAGGCCUCUUUAGCUCUUCCCUGGUCCAGCUCUGAUCCGACCGGACGUAUAGACAGUGGAAGGAGGGGUUAGGCAGGCUCUUGACUUCUCUGACUCCUGUCAUUUUAUCAGGGGGCCAUUGAGGCCCUCCCUUGUGCCAUCCUGAGCUGCUCUCAGUCACAAGCUCUGCCCCAUUCCUGAUGUUGACACUUCGCUACUCUCACCGCCCAUCCUUGGCUGGCUUUACACUGACUUCUCAUCAGGGGCAGAGGUCUCAUCCUGCUUACUGAGUUCCUGGCCUUGCUACAGCUGGGAUGUAGGACUUGAGCCUGUUCACUUGGUUUUCAGAAAUCUGCCUUCUGGAAUGACAAGACACAAAAGAAGACUUCUCUGCACUUUUUGGACCUCUUGCAGUUGAGUGGCUCAGGCCAUAUGCAGUCUACAGCAGAGAACACCUGAGUAAACUCCCAAACAUUGUUCACAUCACUAGAAACUUUGGGAUCUUCCUAGGAUUCAUGUUGGACUUACCUCCAAACUUCCAAGGAUAAUGAACUCUCUUGGUAAGC